rnacentral:rRNA from 1 species
AAAUUGAAGAGUUUGAUCAUGGCUCAGAUUGAACGCUGGCGGCAGGCCUAACACAUGCAAGUCGAACGGUAACAGGAAGCAGCUUGCUGCUUCGCUGACGAGUGGCGGACGGGUGAGUAAUGUCUGGGAAACUGCCUGAUGGAGGGGGAUAACUACUGGAAACGGUAGCUAAUACCGCAUAACGUCGCAAGACCAAAGAGGGGGACCUUCGGGCCUCUUGCCAUCGGAUGUGCCCAGAUGGGAUUAGCUUGUUGGUGGGGUAACGGCUCACCAAGGCGACGAUCCCUAGCUGGUCUGAGAGGAUGACCAGCCACACUGGAACUGAGACACGGUCCAGACUCCUACGGGAGGCAGCAGUGGGGAAUAUUGCACAAUGGGCGCAAGCCUGAUGCAGCCAUGCCGCGUGUAUGAAGAAGGCCUUCGGGUUGUAAAGUACUUUCAGCGGGGAGGAAGGGAGUAAAGUUAAUACCUUUGCUCAUUGACGUUACCCGCAGAAGAAGCACCGGCUAACUCCGUGCCAGCAGCCGCGGUAAUACGGAGGGUGCAAGCGUUAAUCGGAAUUACUGGGCGUAAAGCGCACGCAGGCGGUUUGUUAAGUCAGAUGUGAAAUCCCCGGGCUCAACCUGGGAACUGCAUCUGAUACUGGCAAGCUUGAGUCUCGUAGAGGGGGGUAGAAUUCCAGGUGUAGCGGUGAAAUGCGUAGAGAUCUGGAGGAAUACCGGUGGCGAAGGCGGCCCCCUGGACGAAGACUGACGCUCAGGUGCGAAAGCGUGGGGAGCAAACAGGAUUAGAUACCCUGGUAGUCCACGCCGUAAACGAUGUCGACUUGGAGGUUGUGCCCUUGAGGCGUGGCUUCCGGAGCUAACGCGUUAAGUCGACCGCCUGGGGAGUACGGCCGCAAGGUUAAAACUCAAAUGAAUUGACGGGGGGCCCGCACAAGCGGUGGAGCAUGUGGUUUAAUUCGAUGCAACGCGAAGAACCUUACCUGGUCUUGACAUCCACAGAACUUUCCAGAGAUGGAUUGGUGCCUUCGGGAACUGUGAGACAGGUGCUGCAUGGCUGUCGUCAGCUCGUGUUGUGAAAUGUUGGGUUAAGUCCCGCAACGAGCGCAACCCUUAUCCUUUGUUGCCAGCGGUCCGGCCGGGAACUCAAAGGAGACUGCCAGUGAUAAACUGGAGGAAGGUGGGGAUGACGUCAAGUCAUCAUGGCCCUUACGACCAGGGCUACACACGUGCUACAAUGGCGCAUACAAAGAGAAGCGACCUCGCGAGAGCAAGCGGACCUCAUAAAGUGCGUCGUAGUCCGGAUUGGAGUCUGCAACUCGACUCCAUGAAGUCGGAAUCGCUAGUAAUCGUGGAUCAGAAUGCCACGGUGAAUACGUUCCCGGGCCUUGUACACACCGCCCGUCACACCAUGGGAGUGGGUUGCAAAAGAAGUAGGUAGCUUAACCUUCGGGAGGGCGCUUACCACUUUGUGAUUCAUGACUGGGGUGAAGUCGUAACAAGGUAACCGUAGGGGAACCUGCGGUUGGAUCACCUCCUUACCUUAAAGAAGC